rnacentral:rRNA from 1 species
UACCUACGGGAGGCAGCAGUGGGGAAUAUUGCACAAUGGGCGAAAGCCUGAUUCAGCAACGCCGCGUGACGGCCGCCGGUUUUCGGCUUGUCCCCUUCUCUCCCUCGGGCCGACCGAAAUGACGGUACCUAAAUAAGAAGCCCCGGCUAACUACGAGCCAGCAGCCGCGGUAAUACGUAGGGGGCAAGCGUUAUCCGGAAUUACUGGGUGUAAAGGGUGAGUAGGCGGCAAGGUAAGCGAUAUGUGA